UGGGAGAACAACCAAUGAACUAAACCUGGGAUUAGAAUUGAGGUGUAUCCUGCCUGAAAAAGAUCUUACAGUUCAAGAAUAUUUUGUGUUGGUGGAGAAAUCGUUUGAAAUUAUGUGCGGACAGUGGUCACUGACACUGUGGACACCAUAGGGGCUGGCAAGAAAGAAAAUGAUGGAGGCAGAAUUCUGUCUACAGUGGAUA